GACGAACGCUGGCGGUGUGCUUAACACAUGCAAGUCGAACGGUAAGGCCCUUUCGGGGGUACACGAGUGGCGCACGGGUGAGUAACACGUGAGUAACCUGCCCUCAUCUCUGGGAUAACAGUCGGAAACGGUUGCUAAUACUGGAUAUGAGCCUGCAAGGCAUCUUGUGGGUUGGAAAGAUUUUUUGGUUGGGGAUGGACUCGCGGCCUAUCAGCUUGUUGGUGAGGUAGUGGCUCACCAAGGCUUCGACGGGUAGCCGGCCUGAGAGGGCGACCGGCCACAUUGGGACUGAGAUACGGCCCAAACUCCUACGGGAGGCAGCAGUGGGGAAUAUUGCACAAUGGACGGAAGUCUGAUGCAGCAACGCCGCGGGCGGGAUGACGGCCUUCGGGUUGUAAACCGCUUUCAAUUGUGACGAAGCUUUUUGUGACGGUAGCAGUAGAAGAAGCACCGGCUAACUACGUG
rnacentral:rRNA from 1 species